rnacentral:lncRNA from 1 species
UUUUUUUUUUUUUUUUUUAAGGGCUGCACCUGCAGCAUAUGGAGGUUCCCAGGCUAGGGGUCAAAUCUGAGCUAUAGCCACUGGCCUGCACCACAGCCACAGCAAUGCCAGAUCCGAGCUGCAGCUGUGAUCUACAUCACAGCUCACAGCAAUCCCAGACCCACUGAACGAGGCCAGGGAUCAAACCUGCAUCUUAAUGGACAUUAGUCAGAUUCAUUUCCACUGAGUCAUGAUGGAAACUCCUGUCAUUGUGGUUUUGACUUGCAUUCAUCUAAUGACUAAUGAUGUUGAGGGUCUUUUCAUGUGCUCAUUGGCCAUGGAGAAAUGUCUAUUCAAAUCUGUUACCCAUUUGCUUUGUUUUGUUUUGUUUUAAUAGACUUUAUUUUUAUUUUUUAUUUUUUGCUUUUUAGGGCUGUACCCAUGGCACAUGGAGGUUCUCAACCUAGGGGCUGAAUUGGAGCUACAUUUGCCAGCCUAUGCCACAGCCAUAGCAACACCAGAUCUGAGCCAUGUCUGUGACCUAUACCACAGCUCAUGGCAACGCCAGAUCCUUAACCCACUGAGUGAGGCCAGGGAUCGAACCCGAAACCUCAUGGUUCCUAGUCGGAUUUCGUUUCUGCUGUGCCACGGUGGGAGCUCCUUUAUAGACUUUAUUUUUAGAGCAGUUUUAGUUCACAGCAAAAUUAAGAGGAAGGUAUAGGGAUUUCUCUUAUAUCUCCUGCCCGGCAGCCUCCUCAGUUAUCAACAUCCCUUGCCAGAGUGUUACAAUUUUUUUUUUUUUUUGUCUUUUUGCCAUUUCUUGGGUCGCUCCUGUGGCAUAUGGAGGUUCCCAGGCUAGGGGUCCAAUCGGAGCUGUAGCCACCGGCCUACGCCAGAGCCACAGCAAUGCGGGGUCCAAGCCGUGUCUGCGACCUACACCACAGCUCAUGGCAACGCCGGAUCCUUAACCCACUGAGCGAGGCCAGGGAUCGAACCCGAAACCUCAUGGUUCCUAGUCGGAUUCAUUAACCACUGAGCCAGGACGGGAACUCCAGCGUGUUACAAUUGAUGAAACAACAUUGCCCCAUCAUCAGCCAGGGUACAUAGUUUACAUUAGAAUUCACUCAUGCUGUGUUUGGACAAUUGUAUAAUGACACACAUCCAUCCGUAUAGUAUCACACAGAGUAAUUUCACUGCCCUAAAAAUCCUCUGUGUUUCACAUAUUCACCCCCUCCAUCCCCCUAACCUUUGCCCAUUUUUUACUUGGCUUAUGUGUCUUUUUGUUGUAGACUUGUAACAGUUUUUAUACAGCCUAGAGACUAGUCACUUAUCAAUUAUAUGAUUUAUAAAUGUUUCUAUUUUGUGGGCACAUAUAGGUUUUCAUUUCCCCUGGGCAAAUAUCAGUGGGAUUGCUGAGUAAUAUGUAAAGUGCACGUUUAACUUUACAAAAAACUGCCAACCCAUUUUCCAGAGUGGCUGUACCAUUUUUUUUUUUAGGGCCACACCUGUGGCACAUGGAAGUUCUAGGCUAUGGGUCAAAUUGGAGCUGUGGCUGCCAGCCUGCAUCACAACCACAGCAAUGCCAGAUCCAAACCACAUCUGUGACCUACACCAACAGCUUGUGGCAACGCUGGAUAAUUAACUAAGUGAGGCUAGGGAUCUAACCAGCAUCCUCAUGGAUACUAGUUGGGUUCUGAACCCACUGAACAACAACGGAUCUCCUCAUAGUCACAUUUUAUAAGAUGAUGUCACAUGCUUGAGCAGAGGAUGGAAGCUGAGACAGGGACCAGAGGAGCCUGGUGGGAGGAAUGCAAUGGUCCAGGCCAGGGAUAGUGGGGAUGAGGGAAGAGGAAGAUUCACAAGUGGUUCAGGGGGCCAGGGUAUGGAGCUGGAAGUAGCUGAGCAGGAGAAAAAAGUGGAAGGAGGCCAGAUCUAGAGUGGGAAGGGCAUGGGAGUGCCAAGUUGGGAAUUUCUGGCUCCCCAAUUUUCUGCCCAAGAGCAUUCUGGGUUUGAAUAAGGUUGGUAGCUGCUACAUUGUAUUUGCCUCCUGGGGAUGCCUGGUGCACAUUAGCACAUUAAAGGCUCUGACAAGUUCUGCAACAAAAAACUCUGUUGUUAUUUAACCCAAACUUAGACAUUGGAUUGCUUUUCUCAAGCCAUAACAUUACUCUCAUCAUCAUUUCCAAUGCACAAUUCAUCUUUUUUAUUCCCCAUUAUGUGCCUAGAAUUGGGUUAUAUCCAAUGGUCAAAUAUUUUGGGAGGGUGCAUUAAUGAUCUUAUUAGGUCUUCAGAACAACUCUGUGAAGUGGGUACUAAUAUAAUUUCCACAUUACAAACAAGGCUCAGAGAGGCCAGGUGAUUUGCCUAAGGUCACACAGCUACUGUGUAGAGAAAUGGAAUUUGAUCUGGAGUGUGCUCACAACCUUUCCACCACCCUGCCCAUCUCCUGAAGGUGCCCCAUACUGGGAGUUCCCCUGUGGCACAGCAGGUUAAAGAUUUGGCAUUGUCUCUGCAGUGGCUUGGGUCACUGCUGUGGCGCAGGUUUGAUUCCUGGCCUGGGAACUUCCACAUGUCGUG